rnacentral:tRNA from 1 species
AAAGGGAGACCUAAUUCGGGUAUAAGACGAAAAAAAAGUAGUCCCUACCAAGAAUCAAUCCCAAAAGGUCGGAACGAGGUAUGAGGCUUUCAAACUAGGUUCUGGGUUCAUAAAAGACCUGAAUCAGGAACAAGGGCUAUUAGCUCAGGUGGUUAGAGCGCACCCCUGAUAAGGGUGAGGUCCCUGGUUCGAGUCCAGGAUGGCCCACCUGCACAGGUGGCAAAAACAAGAGAAGCGAGGAAUCAGCACCUUAUCUUGUAUACACAUAUAAGAGAGAAUGCUGGCUCUGAGUACAGAGUCCAGAGGAACCUUGAAAACUGCAUAGAGCUAGGUGAAAAAGCCAAAAAAGAAGACCGCAAG